CGUGGUUAACAAAGGGAACAAGCUCAGCUCCUGCCCGCGCCUGCCGGCCUCUUUUCUGUUCCAUCACAGCCAAGACACUGGCUUUUUGUCAGAAGCCCCUCUUUCUUGUGUGAGCUGGCACCUGUCCCUCUGCCCACCCCUACUAUGGUCUCCUCAAACCCUAAGCUGCCCUGCCCCAUGCUGAUGAAGCUGGUGGCUCCCACAGCAACCAGCACUACCCGAGAGCCUUGGGCCUCGGGGGAGAUGUCAUGUGGGUGCACGGGGCCUGGGUCCCGGUCCCUGCUCUGCUCCUCACUGUUUGACUGACCUUGAUGGGAUCCUGAACGUCUCAGAGGCUGCUCCCCUGUGACAUGGACCCUGGCGACCUGUACACCUGCGUCACCAGGGUUGCUCUGCAGGUCAAAAGAGACAAUGUGGGUGAAGCAGUCCCCUGGCGUCGGGUACCUUUUGUCGGAACUGCUGGGAGCUCUGUGGCCCAGGCCCACCCCAGCUUACUUGCUGACCUUGGCCUCGCCUUCUCUGAGUUUCAGUCUCCCUAUAAAAUUGGAGAUCCCACAGAGAUCUCAGACCCCUGCAGCCCCUGGUCAGCCCAGGGGAACAGACCCCAUGUUUCUUCCCAGCAACACUGCCCACUCAGCGAGGAAGCAGCCACGACGCCCACACUUCCUGCUGGAGCCUGCGCAGAGCCAGAGGCCUCAGAAGCCACAGGAACAUGGCCUAGGCAUGGCUCAGCCAGCAGCCCCCUCCCUGACGCGGCCCUUCCUGGCAGAGGCCCCGACAGCACUGGUCCCACACAGCCCCCUGCCAAGCACCCCUGGCCUGAAGCAGCCCCCGACGGCAAGCACAGGCCCGGAGCUGCUGCUGCUGCCUCCUUCCUCCUUCAUGUCCUGCGGGGCGGCUGCACCAGCCAGGUUGUCAGCACAGCCGGCUACUCCUAGGGAUAAGCCCCCGGUCCCCUCAUCCCUGGCCAGUGUCCCUGACCCCCAUCUACUCCUUCCUGGGGACUUCUCAGCCACCAGGGCUGGGCCUGGACUUUCAACUGCAGGCAGCCUGGACCUUGAGGCUGAACUUGAGGAGAUCCAGCAGCAACUACUGCACUACCAGACCACCAAGCAGAACCUCUGGUCCUGCCGACGGCAAGCGAACAGCCUGCGCAGGUGGCUGCAGCUGAGCAGAGAGGAGCCGGGGUCUGAGGACCAGGAAGUAGAGCAGCAGGUGCAGAAAGAGCUGGAACAGGUGGAAAUGCAGAUCCAGCUGCUGGCAGAGGAGCUCCAGGCUCAGCGCCAGCCCAUUGGCACCUGCGUUGCCCGCAUCCAGGCCCUGCGGCAGGCCCUGUGCUAGCGUGUUCGCCCCAGGAACGCAGGUGCUGGGCUGUCGGGGAGGCCUCAGGCCACAUCCAGAACAGAACACAAAGUUUUAAGUUUGAUUUUUUUAUUUCAAAAUGUUUUGCAAUUAAAUGAAUUACUGUUCA
rnacentral:sRNA from 1 species